GGCGUCCGGGUGAGUAACACGUAGGUAAUCUACCUUUGGGUGGGGAAUAACAACCGGAAACGGUUGCUAAUACCGCAUAAUGCAGCGGCACCACAUGGUGACAGUUGUUAAAGCGGGGGCUUUUCGGACCUCGCGCCUAAAGAGGAGCCUGCGGCGGAUUAGCUAGUUGGUGAGGUAACGGCUCACCAAGGCUACGAUCAGUAUCCGGCCUGAGAGGGCGGACGGACACACUGGGACUGAGACACGGCCCAGACUCCUACGGGAGGCAGCAGUGGGGAAUUGUUCGCAAUGGGCGCAAGCCUGACGACGCAACGCCGCGUGGAGGAUGAAGAUCUUCGGGUCGUAAACUCCUGUCGAGUGGAAAGAAUAGCUUCCGGGCGAAUAUCCCGGGAGCCUGACGGUACCACUAAAGGAAGCCCCGGCUAACUCCGUGCCAGCAGCCGCGGUAAUACGGGGGGGGCAGGCGUUGUUCGGAAUUACUGGGCGUAAAGGGCUCGUAGGCGGCCAACUAAGUCAGACGUGAAAUCCCCAGGCUCAACCUGGGAACUGCGUCUGAUACUGGAUGGCUUGAAUUCGGGAGAGGGAUGCAGAAUUCCAGGUGUAGCGGUGAAAUGCGUAGAUGUCUGGAGGAAUACCGGUGGCGAAGGCGGCAUCCUGGACCGAGAUUGACGCUGAUGAGCGAAAGCUAGGGGAGCAAACGGGAUUAGAUACCCCGGUAGUCC
rnacentral:rRNA from 1 species